UACGUAGGGUGCGAGCGUUAAUCGGAAUUACUGGGCGUAAAGCGUGCGCAGGCGGUUUUUUAAGCCAGAUGUGAAAUCCCCGGGCUUAACCUGGGAAUGGCAUUGAGGACUGGCAGGCUAGAGUGUGGCAGAGGGGGGUGGAAUUCCACGUGUAGCAGUGAAAUGCGUAGAGAGGGGGAGGAACACCGAUGGCGAAGGCAGCCCCCUGGCUAACACUGACGCUCAGGCACGAAAGCGUGGGGAGCAAACAGG
rnacentral:rRNA from 1 species